GGAUAGAAAAAUGAUGAUAACCUUGCCUUGAACUCUCUCUCUGAUUUUGUGAUGGACUAUCCAAGGUCUGAUCUAUUC